rnacentral:rRNA from 1 species
UGCUGGGUGAGUAAAGUGGCGCACGGGUGAGUAACACGUGAGUAAUCUGCCCCUAAGUCAGGGAUAACCCCGCGAAAGCGGGGCUAAUACCCGAUAUGCUCACGACUACUACGGUAGACGUGAGAAAAGGUGGCCUCUAGCAUAAGCUAUCGCUUGGGGAUGAGCUCGCGGACCAUUAGCUAGUUGGUAGGGUAAUGGCCUACCAAGGCUACGAUGGUUAGCUGGCCUGAGAGGGUGGCCAGCCACACUGGAACUGAGAUACGGUCCAGACUCCUACGGGAGGCAGCAGUGGGGAAUAUUGGACAAUGGGCGCAAGCCUGAUCCAGCAAUGCCACGUGUGUGAAGAAGGCCUGCGGGUUGUAAAGCACUUUCGGGAGGGAAGAAGGACACGUAAGUGUAUUGACGUUACCUCCAGAAGAAGCACCGGCUAACUCUGUGCCAGCAGCCGCGGUAAUACAGAGGGUGCGAGCGUUAAUCGGAAUUACUGGGCGUAAAGCGCGCGUAGGCGGUUAUUUAAGUUGGACGUGAAAUCCCUGAGCUUAACUUAGGAAUUGCGUCCAAAACUGGAUGACUGGAGUGGAGUAGAGGUGAGUGGAAUUUCCGGAGUAGCGGUGAAAUGCGUAGAUAUCUGAAGGAACACCAGUG